GUCUUUUUGUUAAUAAUUUAAAGUCUAAUCUGCCCACUGAUAUAUUUAUUAAAGGGCUGCAGUAUUUUGGCUGUACAAAGGUAGCAUAAUCAUUAGUCUUUUAAUUGGUGACUUGUAUGAAAGAUUGGAUGAAAUAUAAACUGUCUCUUUUAUAAAAAAAAAUUGAAUUUAAUUUUUUAAUUAAAAAGUUAAAAUUAUUUAAAAAGACGAGAAGACCCUAUAGAGUUUUAUAAUUUAUUUUGUAAAUAUUUUUAUUUUUAUAUUUUUAUAAUUUUAAAUUAUUUUGUUGGGGUGAUAAAAAAAUUUAAUUAACUUUUUUUAAUAGUUUACAUUAAUAAGUGAUUAAAUGAUCCAAUUUUAUUGAUUAAAAGAAAAAAUUACCUUAGGGAUAACAGCGUAAUUUUUUUUUUUAGUUCAAAUAAAAAGAAAAGUUUGCGACCUCGAUGUUGGAUUAAGAUAAAAUUUAAAUGUAGAAGUUUAAAAUUUUGAUCUGUUCGAUCAUUAAAAUCUU
rnacentral:rRNA from 1 species